AGCGCCCGGCAGCGGGCGGCCACCGCGGCCGCCUCGGCCGGCUCGUCGGUGAAGAUCCGCCGCUCCGGUUCCGGGCCGGCCGGACGCUGCC
rnacentral:tRNA from 1 species